rnacentral:lncRNA from 1 species
GCUUGCAAGAGGACAAAAUGCAAGUUGGGAGUUCUGAAGUUGAUCAAGAUAUGGCUCCUCUUUGGUGAUUCAUGGAGGAAAACAUAAAGCUCCAAUGGACUUUGACUUAAAUGCAAAGGCAGACAGUGGUUUUGAUUUAAAUAAAUUUCCAGAAGAAGAAUUUUCUGAAGAGGGAUCUCAACCGCUGGAGAGAAAGAUGCUAAAAAUUCUUUUACCUGCGUUUUAUAAUUUAGAGCUCUGUAGUAAUGAAAUAAUGGUGUCAGUAUGCUUGAUACUGAGAUAUUGUUAAUGCUUGAGGGUUCUUGAUAGCAGGUCUGUUAUGAAAUUAUUGCGGUCAUAGGAA